UUUUAAUAGCUUAUAAAUAAAGUUUAAUAUUGAAGAUAUUAAGAAGGUAAUUUACCUUAAAAUAU
rnacentral:tRNA from 1 species